CGCCUGCCGGCGACCGGCGCACGGGUGAGUAACACGUAUGCGACCUGCCCCCGCAGGGGGAUAACCGGGAGAAAUCCCGACUAAUACCGCGUAACGCCGCGGACCUGCAUGGGUCUGCGGCCAAAGGAAGCGAUUCCGGCGGGGGAUGGGCAUGCGGCGCAUUAGCUAGUCGGCGGGGUAACGGCCCACCGAGGCGACGAUGCGUAGGGGUUCUGAGAGGAAGGUCCCCCACACUGGUACUGAGACACGGACCAGACCCCUACGGAAGGCAGCAG
rnacentral:rRNA from 1 species